rnacentral:tRNA from 1 species
GCCACCUUAGCUCAGCGGUAGAGCAGGGCACUUGUAAUGCUCAGGUCGGGGGUUCAAUUCCCUCAGGUGGCUC